rnacentral:ncRNA from 2 species
ACCUUUGUCACAGUUAUUGGUGCCUGAUGUACACCUCAGCGUGUACCGAAUGGCUUAAUAGGGAAUCCCGUUAAAAUCGGGAGCUGUUCCCGCAACUGUACGUUUCUGCAAGUUGUCGCCCACUUUCGUCACUGUUCGGUAAAAUGAAUGGGAAGACCGGCGCCAAUGAAACAAGCCAGGAGACCUGCCAACAAUCAUUCUUAACG